CGGAACUGGGCUUCCCUCGGGCGUGGGCUUCGCGCUGGGCCUGAGGCCUGGAUCCCGCCCGGAGGACACGGCUGGGGCAGGAACCAGGCAUGGUUAUAAAGUUGCUCCCCUAAUCACGUUUGCUGUGGUUUUCAUUGGAUGGCCUUUGUGCAGAUGAGUGUCAUAUCUAUUCAAGACUUAGUGGAGGGGAAUGGGAGGGAAUGGAGGAAAUGGGUGAAGGGCAUUAAGAGAUACAGUCUGAGUUAUAAAUAAAAUAAUGAAGACAAGAGAUAUAGCAUACCCAUAUUUGGAAUAUGGUCAAUGUAACACUGUAACACCUUUGUAUGUUGACAGAUGCUAACUACACUUACUGUGGUGACCCUUUCAUGAUGUGUAUGUAUAUCAAAGUGUUAUGUGUAUGCCUGCAACUAAUCCAGUAUUGUAUGUCAAUUAUUCUUCAAUAAAAAGAGAAACAUCGUUUUCA